UAACCCAAACUGUUAUCCCUUUUUGGUCUGUACGUAGGCACUGCCCCACACAUGUGGAAAUCUCUUGGCUGCAGCAUAAACCCAGCCAGUUCCAUACAACACAGAGUCCUGCUCAUCCCAAUUGGAAGUAGCGAUUGCAACUCCUGCCUUUAAUGGUGCAGAAAGGUGAUUUCAAGUGCACUUCGUUACAGUUUUGACUACAGAAAUAAGUGAUAAUAAAGGUGUUCCUUGCAAGAAAACCUGUAACUGCUUGGAAGUCCAAAAAGGGAUCAUGUCUGCAAUGGGCCAUUGCUGCAUGGCAUGCUGCACAUUGGAAGCUGACUCAGCUUGAGAACAAGCAAUUUGCGAAGUGAACAGGCAUGAAACUGAAAGUUGUAAGUCGUGUGACCAAUAGCAAUAAACAAUUACUAAGUUACUUGAAAACUAGAAUAAUUUAUAUUUAAUUGAACCAAAGACUUCAAUGACAUUUAGAGCCCAGAGAAGUAUAUUUUAUCAGCUGGAAAACCCAGAGAUGAAUUUAUUCUCUCAGGUUAAUUUCCAUUUGCACAACUUGUUUUGCACAUCCACUUAAAAAUGACAUGUUUUUUCUUCAGGCCUUUUCUUGACCUAAGAUUAUUUAAAUGUUGGGAACACAACAAUCUUUGCUGUCUUCUAAGUUCAAAAUUCUCAGCCAGACAAGAAACAUCAUGGCCAGCAUGGAACCAGGACAGCCUCAGAGGGGAAAGGAAAAACAGUGAAAACAGGAUUUCCUACUUACUACCCAUAUGACAUGACCGAGUUCUUAAACCACUUAGUGCUUUAAGAUUCGAAUUUUGCUUUCAAUAGGCCGCAAAUUAUGUUUCCCAUGCUAACUAAAAAAUUUCUUUAAAAAUCACCCGAGCACUCAGACCUUAGCACUGCAGACCUGCAGCACUGGCCAAGGACUCUGUCUUUUGUUAUUCUGAGGAAGAAAAGGAUGAAGGGGAGAGUCAGUUUGCAGAGGCUAAUAUAUGGAAAAGUUUGAGUGGAGAUGAUUUUUUUAUCCAGCUUCACAGGAGAAUCCUAUGACUUGGGCUGUACCUUCACUACAGGCUGCCAAAAUCAGUGAGGAUGUAACAGAUGCAGUUCUGGGCAGAAAGGCAAAGUGCAAAAGUCAAACCGAUUAAGGACUGAAGGCCAAGGCAUCCGUUCUGCACAGUGCAGCAUAGCACUGUCCAGGAUCUACUCAGGAGAGCUGUUUGGUGGAUCAUUAGCUCUGAACAAUAAUCUUCUGUUCAGGAUCACUACAGUGGCCCAUUCCAUGUUCCUGAAUACGUCUUGAGUUUACCUAAGCAUACAGCUGUAGAAUAAGAUCCCAACUGUAGGAUAGAAUGAGGAAUGUGAACAUAAUUAGUUAGGCAUCAUUGACAUUUACCACUUCCAUUUUUAAUCUAAAUUUCUGUCUGCUGUUAUCACUUGUUUCUUGGAUGCCUGGUCAGACUCCAGAAUGUUGUUGUGCUCUAUAAAACUAAAAAAAAUUUAUAAUUCUUGCUUUAAUGGUCUAAUACAAUAGGACUGGAUAACAUAGUGGAAAACCUAUCUAUGGAACAAGAAAAUACAGAAGAUGAAAUUUAGUGUAGCAACAAAGCCUUGCAAAUAUCUGACAAAGCCCAAGUAACUGUUGCUUGUCCUGAAAUAAUAUGGAAAACCAGGAAACAGGUCAAAGAGAGUGAGUUUCCCCAGCAAAAAAUCCAUGUGAAAAUUCUUAGUUCGGCUCCUGCAUUCCUACUCUCAAGUUUCCACUCAUUUAAUGGUAUUUUAUGUUCCAACUUUCCUAGGAAAGCAAAAAUCCUGGCACAACCUUAACAAAAGCACUGGAGCCAGUCAACACUUGUGUGAGCUGUUUACUGUCUUCAUGCCAUGGAGAAGCAUGAGAGCCAGCUGGAGAGGUUGAGGCACUGCUUGUAGUGGUGGUGCUUCCUCUCGACGUUUGCCUUUGCUAUGGACAUGAACCUGACCUUGGAUAAUGCAGUCUGAAGACUAAAUAGGAGCUAUGUUACAGAAAGGUGCAAAUGAAACUCCACUCCAGGACAGCAUCAAAAGGGCAGCUUUCCUGCCCAGGACACCUCAUUUAUGGUGAACUUUUCUUAUUGCCUCUUGGCCCCUUUGUUAGAGCAGUCUGAAUGACCUGUUCAGUGGGCAAACUUUCCAGCAGAGGCAUGCACUAAUAGCAUUUGCUGGAUCACAAAAGCUUUGGGAUAAUUUAGUGGAUAUAUUUGCAGGGCCAGGGAGUCAGCUCCCAGGCAUUCUCACUCAUAAAUGAGAGCUCUCAGUUUUACAGAACUCAACUCACACCACAGUGUUUAACUAGCACCUCCCACUCAAAACAACGGAAAUUCUUCCUUCAUCACCCAGUCUCAGGAGAAGAAAAUGGGAUAUGAUAAUGGCCAGGAUUUUUAAAAUCUGGAUGUCAAUGUAUCUUUGGGUUAUUGUUUAUUUUUAUUGCAAUUGCUUGAGUAAGAGAGAAGAUACUGUUUUCCAAAACAAGACUUAGUGAGGAAUGGAAGAUCUGUAAUACCAUGGAAUUUAUACUACAGUGAUAAACUAUUUUAUUUGUUUUUCCUUAUUUUCAUUCUAUUUAUUCCAUGUCCACAGUGCAAGAAGCAUUGAACCAGCCAGACAAGAAACAUCAUGGCCAGCAUGGAACCAGGACAGCCUCAGAGGAGAAAGGAAAAAGAGUUACAAGAGAGAAUGAUGAAUAAAAACCAGGACAUAUGAAUAAGGUUAUUAGCCAAUAUACGAGAUUACUAGUGCAAAAUACAUAUCCAGGUGUGAAGCACUGUAAUUUAGUUUUACAGUCUACUUUCAGAUCAGCUAAUCUGUCGCUCAUUUAAAUUCACAAUUUUAGAAGAGACUUGUAGCACAUGUGGUGGUGCAUUCCUGCUAUCUCCUAGACUGCUCUGAGAUCUGAGGAAUUCUUGUUAGGCUUGGUCCUGGAUUAAUUGUACUGGGGUGAUGAAUCUCCCCUUCAACUUAUCAAAAACAUCUUAUCCUGGUCCAUAGCAGGAAAUUCUGUUACCUAACCAAGGAAGGGGACAAGAGAUAACUCUGAAAGCCUUGGAACAUUACUUGCUUGAAUCAUAGCCCAAGUGGAACAAUAUUAUUGUUACUGAAAUUUUGAGGAAAAUUACUGAUCUGGAUUGAGGCCAGGAUGGAGACUGACUGAUGACUAAAGCCAAGCAACUUGCAGCUCUAUGAACAACAGUCCCAAGUGAGGCCCUUUGAGCUCCCCUGGGCUGCAGUGGCUGCACCAGCAUCUUGCCCAGGGUCUCUUGGAGCUCACCAAUUCACAGGUUUGAAGACUCAGGACAGUCACUGAAAACUGAAAGUGGGGUUUUUGCUGGUACCCAGCUCCUUGAGGCUCAACCCUUCACCCACAGAGAUGCAAAGACAUUUGGCGUCAAUCUUAACAGACCUGUAAUGUCUAAUGAGAAACUUACUGGCUAAGAAGACUCACAUUGGAAAGCUCCAUCCUCAUACUCAUGAAAGGGUUUACAUGAACCUCGGUGAGAACCAGGCUAGCAGAACAGAUGAAGGAGAAAUGAGUAAGAGGUUCUAAGCAAAAUGACAACCACCUGAGGAAAGCUGGAGUACUGUUGUGUGAUCGAAGGUUUUGUUCUACACUUUGCACGGCUGUGUUAAAACAGAGCAGUAUUGCAAAAUUGACUUGGCUUAUCCUUUUCAAUGGUAUUCACAUUAAAAAAGGAACGGCACUGCAGGUUUUGUGCCAGACAAUGGGUGGUUUCAACAACAUGUAUUUCUCAUUCCUAAGUGACUGAUACUAUUUCCUGUUUUCUCUAAAAGACUGUGCAGCUUGCAGGUCUGUCCUAAGUAUCAAUAUGAAAAAUCAUGGAUAUUGUGCCACUUUCUAUCUAGCUUUUUCUCUUAUAUCUAGACAGAGAAUUUAAAUAUUUAUUCAAAGUUGGAACAUAAGCAUCUGAGCACAAAAGGAGAUCCAGUACCACAAGCAGGCAAACAGCUACCAAACCUCACUCAGCUUAUUACUUCUUUUGUUGCUCAUUACCAGAAAGUGGUAUCUGUAUGCAAACAGAUGUUUCUAAUCAGCCUCAUUCAGUCUCAUUUGCUACCUGUAAUUUACAGUCUCUAAUACCACACUCAAUUCUAUGCAAGUGUAACUCAUGGAACAAGAUUCAUGAAUAAUUGCCAGGGUACCUUCUUCUCCUUUUUUAUUCUGGACAAAAGUACUGAUAGCCCUCACUCCAACUAUAAAGCCACUUCCUCUGCAAGUGGUGAACAAACCAAUCAGAUUUAUUCAGAGCAAGAGAAAACACUAACUCCUGGUGUAGGUAAGUUGACUAACAGUGCCGCAUUUUGCUGCAAUUAGAUAAUCACAUCAGUUCGUGCAGAAAUGAGAAGGAGCUGUUUUGGCCAAACUCUGAAUUUUGGGGAACAUCUCUGCGUUGCUCCUUGCACACAUAGAUCUAGCACAAGAAUUUCUUCAAGACUCAACAGGUAAAGCUUCUUAUGUGUACUGUAUGUAUCACUGCAUAUAUCAGUUUCUUCUUUAGCUACUAUAAUAUUGCAGGAGGGUCUCUGACUGACUUGUACUCAAGGAGAAAAAGCCCAGGUGUAAAAACAGUCUGUAGGGGUAAUCAGAAUGACACAAAAAGAUGAAAAUGUCAAAUAAAUUUUUUGGUUGACAUACUGAAAUGAUGCCCCAAUGGAAAUUAUGGCCAGCUGAAAAACAUAUCCUGGAGUAAGAGCAGACUGAAGCAUCUGUAAAAAAGGACUCUAUCUUGUUGAUAGAAGUUCAGAUAAUGGUGGACAAUAACUCAGGAAGGACCAAAUUAACAAAAAAAUACCAAGGUGAUUGUUGAUCAUCAUUACUCUCUGAAGACAGCCUGCUCCUGCAUGCCGAAAAUUCCCACAAGGAUGCCAACAGGUAAAACUCUCCAUUUGUCUUAAAACUCAGUCUAACAUGUCUCAUCUCUUGAACAUCUAAGCCAUACUCUUCCAAAACCCGUAAUGCACAAUUCAAACUAGCAAUACAGUCCUAAACAGGAUUAUCUCUCUUUUGUCAGGCUUUCUUCCUCUGAAAGAUAAGCAUUUAAAUAGGUGGUGUCAUAUGUGCUUUUAAGAGGCAGGUAAUGAAACAACUUGCAAAGAGUUCCACUUCUUCUCUACUAGAAAGGCUUUAUACAAGUAAUGAGUGAAACAUUUGCAAACUAUUCAGUUUCCUAACAACUCAGUUCUCUAACAAAUGAAUCCUGGGUCUGAAACUAUGUGUUGUCUAAGAGCUUGUUAUUUCCAAAGUCUAAAAUAUACUUUUCUUGCUGGAAGAAUAACCCUCUCAGUGAUGUGGCCUACAGAGAGAAGGUGGAGUGAAUCAUUAAUCCCUAACUGAAAGAUACCUCCUGGAGUUGCUUCCCAGCUGACUUCUUACAAGAUCCGACUGUGGAUUCAAAUUUAUUAUUCUGAGCUAUUGGGCAGAAGAACACAGAUUGGUUUAGCUAGCAGCAAACUGCCAGACAACCAUUACACAUGUCCAACACAAGACCCUCAACACAAGAAAGAAUUGGACCUGUUGGAAUGAGUCCAGCAAAGGCACAAAGAUGAUCAGAGAGAUGGGGCACCUUCUCUAUGAAGACAGGCUGAGAGGGCUGCAUAUCUUACACCUGGAGAAGUCUUCAGGGAGAUCUUACAGGAUUUUCCAGUACCUAAAAGUGCCCUAUAGGAAAGCUGGAGAGGGACAUUUUACGUCAUGUAGUGACAGGACAAAGGAGAAUGGCUCCAAAUUUAGAGAGAAUAAGUUUAGAUUAGAUAUUAGGAAGAAAUUCUUUACCAUGAGGGUGGUGAGGCACUGGAACAGGCUGCCCGGAGAUGUUGUGGAUGCCUCAUUUCUGGAAGUGUUCAGGGCGAAAUUGGAUGAGGCUUUGAGAAACCUGGGAGGUGUCCCUGCCCAUGCCAGGGUGUUGAAACUAGCCAAUCUUUAAGUAUUUCCAACCCAAACCAUUCUAUAACUCUGUGAAAUGCUGAGACUCCAGGGCCUGAUGAAAAAAAUCAGGUCCACUUUGAAAAAGCAGACACAUUUUUGAGAAAUGGGACAUUCAGAUCCCACGGCAUCCAAGAACUGAUAGAGAAGCUGGAACCCUCUGCACCAUGCAGAAUCAGUUAUCAGUCCAGUGCUCAGGGCAGCCUGCACGAUUUCCUGCAAAGUCUCCACUUCGUGCCAGGAUCUGCUCCAGGAUUGUGAGCAGAUACCAGUCCUGCCUGUGACACUGGACCUGCCCAGAGGUGUUUGUGACACAUACUUUUUUUAUGCCUGGUUUUAAACCCGUGGUUUAUUUGUCUCCCGUUUAUGGAGCGCAGUGCAGUUGCUGCCAGAAGAAGGUGUUUUGCAUCUCCUCUUCUUUACAGCAAGAUAGGAAUGUGGUCUAGCAAGGUGCUAAGCCCUCAGGCUGGGAGCAAAAAAAUAUCAAACCAUUGUUCUGUCAAGGCAAACACCAGCCAUGGGAGUUAAAACUGCUAACUUUCAAGUUAGUACAUUUGGCAGAUGGCUUACCCAGGUCUAUAAUGUCAGUGUGGAUAUUGUAGAUUUUGUAUCUUUUUAAAAAGGGACCAGACUUUCAGUCAUGUCUGGCUGACUGCUGUGUGCACAUCUAAUGUUAAACAGCAUAGCGGCAGUGGGAAUACAAGAACAAUGGCAAUUAGUUAAUAUCAUUAGCUACUCGUUUUCACUUCUUUUGCUUUAAGAAUCUCAGGUUGCAGAGAAUGUGCUGAACCUGCAUUUUCAGUGAUCUAGAAGUGUUGCUGCAUGCCUAGUUUGUGCAAGAAUUUGUUGCAGUUUUCUCUUAUGCUGAAACACUUCUGUGAAAAUACUGCCGUGUAGCUAUUGAUAGAGAAAUACUCUAAUAUACUAAUGAAAUUACCAACUGUUUAAAAUUUGAGCCAAAUAUCCCAUUUCCCCAUGAAUGCUGUUAGUAGAAUAAACGUAGCUAUUAUUAAAGUGAAGAAUCUGUCUUGUAGUCAGUGUUAGGCUUAGGUAGAAUGCUGCUCCAACCAGUAAGCUCCUCUCCUCUCUUUGCCACUUACUGUUGCAUUCUGUGGUGCUACAUCCAACACACAGACCUGUUUUGGAAACAUCUUCUAAGAACUGAUCUCUUGUCUAACACUGGCAGUUCACCACUCUUUGUUGCUCGAAGCAAACUUUCAGCCUACCAAGCACAGAUUGUAGAGAAGUUUGUGGUUUAUUCCAGUCUUUGAUUUGCUGAUUGGUCCUGUUUAUCAUAAACCGCAAGGGGUUGUGAACUGCCAUGCACUGAAGAUCCUCCUUUCUAUUACUACAGCAUCCAAAAAAGGGUGGCUUCAAAAGCCUCCUGUAAGGUGUAAUCCACAGUCUAAGGCAUUUCUACUCUGCUGCUGAAGAAAAUAUAGCCAUAAAUGUUUAAUGGGUUUAGGUAAAGUCUGACCACUAUAGAGGAAAGUAUAUAAGGGCUUUACAUACUUCUGUAUAUAGGUGUGUUCAUGCUCAAUAAUAUUUCUGAUUCAGCCUCCUAUUUAGUACCAUUUCAUUAACUGAUCUCUGGACUCCAGUGUAAGGGAAGAUAACAGCUCCACUGAAGGCACCCACAAGAGUUUUUUAUAUGUUGAAGGGCCACGUAAUGUUGUUCUGUAAUCACCAUCACGUAUUAAAAAAAAAAUAUCAGAAGCCGGAAACAGAAGGAAACAGGAAAAAGGCAGGGAAAUUGUACCAGCACAACCAAUACUCAUCCUUAGUAAGGAGUGUGUAGGUGAUGGAGAGGAAAUGAAAAAUGUUUUGCAGAGCUUCCAGUGCCAGCUGAGCAGGUACAUAUAAAUGUCACUGUAUUUCUUUGCCUCAAAGAUAUUCUCUGUUCAUUGAAAAUGUAAAAGUACCUCUGCUGAUUUAGACAAUGCAAAUGUUUUGCCUUGUAUAGUUAAUAUUUUUAAUAAAAGAACAGAGGUUUUGUGUAACAGUGGUAAAAGCCAACAAACAUGCUGCCAUAAGUUUUUUUUUCAAAAAAGGUAGAGGGGUGGGGAAACCACUGUUCAUGCCCAGAGCAAGUCCAUCAUAUAAGAUGAAGAAGGUUAAUGGUUAUGAGGAAAAAACUCAUCUGAUGGUGACAGACAAAGCUGAAAUAUACUUCUGUACAGGGCCAAAGGAAAGGUCAGUGGUGGGCAGACCACACUUCUAAUGGCAAUUUACAUGGGCAGAUAGUGAUAGGAGAAGGGGAAAUGGUUUCAAGCUUAAAAAAUAAUUUUA